CAGUCGAGGGGCAGCGGGGAGGAAGCUUGCUUUCUCCGCCGGCGACCGGCGCACGUGUGAGUAACACGUAUGCAACCUGCCCCUGUCAGGGGGACAACCCGCCGAAAGGCGGGCUAAACCCGCGUACAUGCCACCGGGGCAUCCCGGAGGCAGGAAAGGCUUCGGCCGGACAGGGAUGGGCAUGCGGCGCAUUAGGCAGUAGGCGGGGUAACGGCCCACCUAACCGACGAUGCGUAGGGGUUCUGAGAGGAAGGUCCCCCACACUGGUACUGAGACACGGACCAGACUCCUACGGGAGGCAGCAGUGAGGAAUAUUGGUCAAUGGUCGGGAGACUGAACCAGCCAAGCCGCGUGAGGGAGGAAGGUACAGAGUAUCGUAAACCUCUUUUGUCAGGGAACAAAGGCGGGGACGUGUCCCCGGAUGAGUGUACCUGAAGAAAAAGCAUCGGCUAACUCCGUGCCAGCAGCCGCGGUAAUACGGAGGAUGCGAGCGUUAUCCGGAUUUAUUGGGUUUAAAGGGUGCGCAGGCGGUCUGUUAAGUCAGCGGUCAAAGCCCGGGGCUCAACCCCGGCCCGCCGUUGAAACUGGCAGUCUCGAGUUGGAGAGAAGUAUGCGGAAUGCGCGGUGUAGCGGUGAAAUGCAUAGAUAUCGCGCAGAACUCCGAUUGCGAAGGCAGCAUGCCGGCUCCACACUGACGCUGAGGCACGAAAGCGUGGGUAUCGAACA
rnacentral:rRNA from 1 species